rnacentral:rRNA from 1 species
UACGUAGGGGGCUAGCGUUGUCCGGAAUCAUUGGGCGUAAAGCGCGUGUAGGCGGUCCGGUAAGUCCGCUGUGAAAGUCGAGGGCUCAACCCUCGAAUGCCGGUGGAUACUGUCGGGCUAGAGUACGGAAGAGGCGAGUGGAAUUCCUGGUGUAGCGGUGAAAUGCGCAGAUAUCAGGAGGAACACCAAUUGCGAAGGCAGCUCGCUGGGACGUUACUGACGCUGAGACGCGAGAGCGUGGGGAGCAAACAGG